UACGGAGGAUGCGAGCGUUAUCCGGAUUUAUUGGGUUUAAAGGGUGCGCAGGCGGCGUGUCAAGCAAGCGGUAAAAUAGCGGGGCUCAACCCCGUCGAGCCGUUGAACUGGCGCGCUUGAGUUCAGGCGAGGUAGGCGGAAUUCGUGGUGUAGCGGUGAAAUGCAUAGAUAUCACGCAGAACCCCGAUUGCGAAGGCAGCAUACCGGUGCACAACUGACGCUCAGGCACGAAAGCGUGGGUAGUCGAACAGG
rnacentral:rRNA from 1 species